CCUACGGGAGGCAGCAGUGAGGAAUAUUGGACAAUGGGCGCAAGCCUGAUCCAGCCAUGCCGCGUGCAGGAAGAAGCAUCUAUGGUGUGUAAACUGCUUUUGUACGGGAAGAAACACUCCUACGUGUAGGAGCUUGACGGUACCGUAAGAAUAAGGAUCGGCUAACUCCGUGCCAGCAGCCGCGGUAAUACGGAGGAUCCAAGCGUUAUCCGGAAUCAUUGGGUUUAAAGGGUCCGUAGGCGGUUUAAUAAGUCAGUGGUGAAAUCUGGUCGCUUAACGAUCAAACGGCCAUUGAUACUGUUAGACUUGAAUUAUUGUGAAGUAACUAGAAUAUGUAGUGUAGCGGUGAAAUGCUUAGAUAUUACAUGGAAUACCAAUUGCGAAGGCAGGUUACUAACAAUAUAUUGACGCUGAUGGACGAAAGCGUGGGGAGCGAACAGGAUUAGAUACCCUGGUAGUCCACGCCGUAAACGAUGGAUACUAGCUGUUGGGCGCAAGUUCAGUGGCUAAGCGAAAGUGAUAAGUAUCCCACCGUCGGGAGGUACGUUCGUCGAAGAAGUUAGUAAACGUUACGAAAGUAAGUUAAGUUAGGACGGNGAGAGAGCGACGACGACGACGACGGAGGGAGGAGG
rnacentral:rRNA from 1 species